rnacentral:lncRNA from 1 species
GGGUUCCUUAAGCCAGGGUCUCACUCAGAUCUUGUAUCUUCACAUCGCCUCUAAGUAGUAACUCUGGUAACUGCUGUUUGUUCAGAAAGUUGGAAAUACAAAACGAAGGAUUCAGCGGGGCUGCAUUCCUUCUGGAGACCUGAGGAGAAUCCUUUUGAUGAAUGCUAGCUAUAUGCAAAAUCUUGGAUUUGCGUAUGACUUCAAGAACAUCUACCAGCACUGUAUGAGAGAGAAAAAGCCAGCCUCCUCCAAUAACUUGGCUUAAACAAGCUAUUUAUAGAGAGGGGGAUGAUGCUCAUGAGCCUCAGGAGAAAAACAAAAGAUCACUGGUCCUCAGGAGUGGAAACUUGGGAGAUUCUCAACUGUCUCUCUCCAGCAGUAUAAAAAGCAUACUUCAGAACAAAAGGUCAGCAGUCAUUGUUUCAGUCAGCUGAGGAGAUUUAGUCUACAGGCACAAACGUCCCCCCGGACUCGGAAGCUCAAAAGAAUGAAGUGUACUCAGCAUCUUUCAGCACUAGGAGAGCUAACCAGUAUAGAAGAAGUCUCUGGGAAAUUUGAUUUUUCCAUAUUCUAUAACUCAAGUAUGUGCUGUCUUCAGAGAUAAGGUCUCACUGGAAAGUUCUGAAGAGUUACUGAGAGAAGUGACAAUGGCUCAUAAUAUUUAGAGGUUUGGGAGGCCUCACUGCUCAGAAGCUCCAAAAGAAGUAACCCAUCCUGGACUGGGGGUUUUAUUUGUAAGGGUUUCCUGUAUUUUAGUGACUAAAAUCUAAGUUGCAUGGCAAAAGCUGAUGUCAUGGGCAGGAAUGACACUUGUUUCACAUGGAAAAGCACUAAAUAUAUUCAACAAU